ensembl:lncRNA
GACAUCAAGCUGUAUGCCAAGAGUGAACGAGACAUCGAUUCGGACUGGAGAAGUGUAGUCGAAUGGUAACAAAGAGAGGGAAGGUAGUCAGAACUGAUUGGGGAUUGAACUACCAGAAGGCAAUCUUGCAGACAUAGAGGACAGUUACAAGUACCUGGGGAUCCCGCAGGCGAAUGGGAACCAUGAAGAGGCCCCUAGAAAAGCUGCAACCACCAAGUACCUGCAGAGGGUCAGGCAAGUCCUGAGGAGUCAGCUGAAUGGUAAGAACAAGAUCCGCGCCAUCAACACGUACGCCCUGCCCGUGAUCAGGUACCCUGCUGGGGUAAUAGGCUGGCCAAAGGAGGAGAUAGAAGCCACUGACAUAAAGACAAGAAAGCUCCUUACCAUGCAUGGAGGGUUUCACCCGCAGUCCAGCACCCUGAGGCUGUACGCUAAGCAGAAGGAAGGGGGCCGGGGACUGGUGAGUGUCAGCACCUGUUACGUUUCGGUGUUGUCAGUGUUUUGUUUUUGCGUGACUGUCAUGUGUUUCCUGUUUUACUUUGAAGGUCUGUUGUUAUCUUAGUGUGUUCAGUUUACGUUUCCUUGUCUCGUCAGGUCUAAUUUGCCCCAGCUGUGUUUCCCUCCUGUGGUCCAUUCCCUGAUUGCUCCUUCUAUGUAUUUAAGCCCUGUGUGUCAGUUGGUCAUGGUUGUGAUCUCCCCCGUGUUGUAAAUAGAUUUGUCGAUACUUUAGUUUUGGGAUUUUGGUGGAGAGCUGUAGUUUUUUUCUCGUGUGUUUUUUUUCUUAUUUUUAUUUUCAUACGUUGCACGCCGGUUGCCUAGGCCGGGGUGUAACAGCACCACAGUCCAGGAUGAGACAACGAACAUCCAAGAAUACAUUGGGAAGACGGCCCCAACUGACCGAGUGCUCAGUGAAUACCUCAGGCAGCAGAAACCCAAGAAAGAGGAGGGAGACGAGGAACCAUCAUGGAAGGACAGGCCCCUGCACGGUAUGUACCACCGGCAGAUAGAGGAGGUGGCUGAUAUCCAGAAAUCCUACCAGUGGCUGGACAAAGCUGGACUGAAAGACAGCACAGAGGCACUAAUCAUGGCAGCACAAGAACAAGCUCUGAGUACAAGAUCCAUAGAGGCUGGGGUCAAUCACACCAGGCAAGACCCCAGGUGCAGGCUGUGUAAAGAUGCCCCAGAGACAAUCCAGCACAUAACAGCAGGGUGCAAGAUGCUAGCAG